CCUACGGGUGACAGCAGUGGGGGAUAUUGCACAAUGGGGGAAACCCUGAUGCAGCGACGCCGCGUGGGUGAAGAAGUAUUUCGGUAUGUAAAGCCCUAUCAGCAGGGAAGAAAGAAGACGGUACCUGACUAAGAAGCCCCGGCUAACUACGUGCCAGCAGCCGCGGUAAUACGUAGGGGGCGAGCGUUAUCCGGAUUCACUGGGUGUAAAGGGAGCGUAGACGGCCGUGCAAGCCAGGAGUGAAAGCCCGGGGCCCAACCCCGGGACUGCUCUUGGAACUGUGCGGCUGGAGUGCGGGAGGGGCAGGCGGAAUUCCUGGUGUAGCGGUGAAAUGCGUAGAUAUCAGGAGGAACACCGGCGGCGAAGGCGGCCUGCUGGACCGCGACUGACGUUGAGGCUCGAAAGCGUGGGGAGCGAACAGGAUUAGAUACCCGUGUAGUC
rnacentral:rRNA from 1 species